AGAAUUUGGAUAUAUUGUGUGCUUUGUAGUCUCGACAAGUGAAAUGCCUUGUAUAUUCAUGCAUGCCCGUAAGAUUUAAGGCCUUUUUUGAUCGUAUAUCGCACUGCGCUUAGGUUGACGCCUGCAUUCGUGCAAGUUGACACUGGUGCGCAUUAGGUGGUCUCUGCGCCCAGUACAGUGCACAAAAUCGGGCCAUUUUCCAAUUUGAGUAGAAAAAACCACAUCCUUCCAACAGUGACAUAAGGGAUACUAUGACUGGGCUGACUACUGUAAAUUGCAUAUAAGUAUUUUUUGCUUUGUUCCUGGACAGAUCUGAUUUGGAGAACUACACCAUGCAGCCGAUCGGGGUCUGGUAUGCCACCCAGACGGGCCUGUAUGCCGCCUUGGCCGGCCUGACUGGCAAGUUCGCCGCCUCCUACAGCGAGGCGCACUGGCUCUGCCUGCUCGCCAGCAAGUUCCUCAUGUUGACCGGCCUGGUGCAGCCGCAGCUGGGCUUCUGCGACCGGCGCGUGAUCGUGUUCCGCGUGGUCGCGUUCCUGCUGACCCUGCUGGUGAACGC